CCCUGCCGUGGUGUCACCGAGGCCAGCAAGGAGCAGGAACAAGGCUCUCCCAUGCCUCCCUGCCUGGGAACUCUCAGUGGGGGCUACACAGGGAGCCUGGUCUCCCAGCAGUGCCAACAAGAGCCUCAUUUGGGUGUCAACAGCACUUGAAUGUCUACUUCCUACUUGACAGUCACAAGGAAGCCAGGUGCACCGUCAACUAAUUAAAACCAUGACUAAGGAGGCAGCAGUAUUCAGCCAGGAUCACGAUCAAGGCGGCUGACUCACUAAUUGUGAGUCCCACUGGGUAACUCCCUGCACGGAUGGAGGCAGCCAAAAGAAAGCAUCGAAACACGUAGGUCCUGGUUUCCAGUGAGGCGGGGUGGAGAGCAUCCCCAUGCUGCUGUACCCCCAGCUUCCUUGCGCCUUGCCUCAUCUUUAUACACCUCAGUUUUCUCAUCUGCAAAGUGAGACCACAGAACUACCAGUGUAGGUGUCCUGGGGGCCUGAAAUUCUCACUGGCAUGUGGGUCAUUAGGAUGGCUGCUAUAGGAACUGCUGUAAACCCACAGAAAGUGCACCUGCUCUGGGAAGUCAAAUGCUCUCAUCAACCUUCGGGCUGACUGCAGGAGAGCUUGGGACAAUACCUCACAUCCCAUGUGGGACCACAAUCUUUGAUGAGCACAAACUGGACAAAGAUUAUGGAAUGAAUGUGGCGGGGGGGGGGGGGGGUGCCAUUCGUGGUUAUCUUGAGGUACAAAUGAAUGAGCGCCUGUUCACACCCUGAAACCUCAAGCAGCUGUGGUAAGCCAGGAGCGGGAUGCCGGUGAUCAGACCGGCUUUGGCGAUCGCAAUCACAGGUUUCAGUGCACUUCUACAGUCUCGGAAGUCCACAGAAGCCCAGUUCUAAGAUCAACAUUUCAGGCCAAGUGUAACCCUCAGCCAAGUCUAUAUUUUUAAAAAAUUAGUAUUAUGCAAGAGCAGCUAUGCAGUGAAUUCCUCUGGGGCCAAAGGUAACGUCACGUGGAAACAAGUUGCUCAAAAAGCAGGGGAUGUGCUUCCCCCAACACACCUGUGGCUGCUGAGGCCGACACGGGGCCCAGCGUGAGACAGGGUGGCCACACUUCCACAGGAACGGGGGUGAAACACAGCCACAGACAUCGCAAAAGGCACGUCACACACCGAAUGCUGUCUCAAGGACUUUUAGACUCCUGAUUCUCAAACACGAGGUGACCAACCACAAGGGACUGCAGCUCAGAGGGUACAUCCACAUGGCACGGGUCUCCAACAGGCGGAGCUGACUUCCAGGUCACUGUCGCUUGGGUUAGAAAUCAGUAAGGGCGAUGCAGAAGCUCGGGAGUUGUGGAUCCGAGAAAGGUCUGAGCUCAAGAUAUCCAAGGUGGGGGUGUCUUGGGGUAGGUGCCCCGCGGUGGAAAAAGAAUGUCAGGAUAACAGAGGAAGAGGCUUGGGAGAGGCCACCAGCCCAAGACAGAGGUCACCAAACAUGAUUGGGGCAGGGGGUUGGUGGUGGAAGAGGCAAGUAUAAAGGGCAAAGGUCAGAAAGGUGUCAGCAAGUAUGAACUUGGCUUUGCCUCAUGGUGGACAGCAAAGGCAGUGAGCAGCGUCAGAGUCCUCGGAGGACUCUGCUCAUGAGAGACACAAGGAAUGUGUCUAAGCUGGGGAGAUACGAGGUGUGAUAAGGAUGUAGCCCCCGUGUGAAGAAGGGCAUGGAAGAGUCAGCAGCGUGCCUCAGUGCAGAGGCCGGGAAAGUAACCCAGGAGGUCACCAGCCAUCACCAACCAGUUUUAUUAUGUAUGUCUUCCACUCACACAGCUUCCGAAUCAAUCAAUCAAUCUACCACAAUUCACAACACUUAACGCUUUUUCAUAUUUUCCAAGGCCUAACAAUGAUAACUCCUCCUGUUUUUUAAUCACCCCCAGGGCCUUCUGAGUAUGCCAGGCAACAAAUCUUAUAGAACUUGUCCAUAGCACCAAAUUGUUCAGAAAGUUGCAAGACACAAGCCAAAUCCAUCAUGCUACAGUGUAGGCCUAUGUUCAUCCAGUAUAUAUAUUUUUUCACAAUUUGUACUCACUGUAUUUGGUUUUGGUGU